UACGGAGGGAGCUAGCGUUAUUCGGAAUUACUGGGCGUAAAGCGCACGUAGGCGGCUUUGUAAGUUAGAGGUGAAAGCCUGGAGCUCAACUCCAGAAUUGCCUUUAAGACUGCAUCGCUUGAAUCCAGGAGAGGUGAGUGGAAUUCCGAGUGUAGAGGUGAAAUUCGUAGAUAUUCGGAAGAACACCCGUGGCGAAAGCGGCUCUCUAGAACGGUACUGACGCUGAGACGCGAAAGCGUGGGGAGCGAACAGG
rnacentral:rRNA from 1 species